GUGAUCAUACUAGCACUAAUGCAUCAGAUCGCAUCAGAACUCCGCAGUUAAGCGUACUUGGGCGAGAGUAGUGCUAAGAUGGUUGACCCCCAAGGAAGGAUUAUUGUUAUACCCU